rnacentral:rRNA from 1 species
GAUGAACGCUGGCGGCGUGCCUAAUACAUGCAAGUCGAGCGAACAGAUAAGGAGCUUGCUCCUUUGACGUUAGCGGCGGACGGGUGAGUAACACGUGGAUAACCUACCUAUAAGACUGGGAUAACUUCGGGAAACCGGAGCUAAUACCGGAUAACAUAUUGAACCGCAUGGUUCAAUAGUGAAAGGCGGCUUUGCUGUCACUUAUAGAUGGAUCCGCGCCGUAUUAGCUAGUUGGUAAGGUAACGGCUUACCAAGGCAACGAUACGUAGCCGACCUGAGAGGGUGAUCGGCCACACUGGAACUGAGACAUGGUCCAGACUCCUACGGGAGGCAGCAGUAGGGAAUCUUCCGCAAUGGGCGAAAGCCUGACGGAGCAACGCCGCGUGAGUGAUGAAGGUCUUCGGAUCGUAAAACUCUGUUAUCAGGGAAGAACAAAUGUGUAAGUAACUGUGCACAUCUUGACGGUACCUGAUCAGAAAGCCACGGCUAACUACGUG